CGUUGCUUAUGGGGCUACGUGUCUGCUGGUGCUGUGCGGGGCUGUGUGGGGCCCGUGAGGCGCUGUGCUGCGGGCUGUGCGAAGGGCUGUGUGACGCUCUGUGCGGGGGGCUGUGCGGAGGCCUUGAGGGGCUGUGCGGGGUCCGUGAGGCUCUGUGUGGGGCGCCGUGUGGGAGACUCUGCGGGGGCCGUGAAGGGUCCGUGAGGCGCUGUGUGCGGGUUGUGAGGCGCUGUGCGGGGACCAUGAAGGGGCCGUGAGGCGCUGUGCGGGUGCCGUGGGGCGCUGUGUGGGAGGCUGUGCGGGGGCCGUGGGGCGCUGUGUGAGGCGCUGUGCGGGUGCCGUGGGACGGUGUGUGGGAGGCUGUGCGGGGCUGAGGGGAGGGCGGGUCGCGCUGUGCCCUCCUUGAAGCUCUCGGAUGGCCCCGCUGGGUAUGGGGGUGCACACAGGCCCGAGGUCAGGCGCUGGAGGAUGUAUCCCGGGAUCCACUCUUAACCUGGCAGCCAAAGGCACCCUGUCCCGCCGCCCACAGCCUUCUCCGCGCCAUAUGCUGGGCCAGGGUGUCCCCACGGGGCUCACACGAAAGACCCCGGGGUGGGGAAGCCCUGCAGCCCGGAGCUGGGUACAACCUGCAUUAAGGUGGGCGUCUCAAACACCCCCUCUUUUCUGAGGCCCUGCAGAAGCAAAGCCGUGGACUGGGUUGUGGCGCUUGUGUGUGCAUUGACUUCUCCUGUGAAACAUACAGGAAACGUUUAAGCGUGCCGUUCCCUGCCAUUCAUUCCAAUCAUGUGCCACGCCCCCACUAUUUCUAGAAUUUUCUCAUCCCAAACAGAAACUGUCCCCUUUAAACAAUAACUUCCCAUUUCCCCCUUCCCCUUUUAAAAUUUUGCUUUUAGUUUUUAAAUAGCUCAGAUUGGCCAGGCAUGGUGGCUCACACCUGUAAUCCCAGGACUUUGGGAGGCCCGAGGUGGGUGGAUCAGGAGGUCAGGAGUUUGAGACCAGCCUGGCCAACAUGGUGAAACCCGGUCUCUACUAAAAAUACAAUAAUUAGGUGGGCGUGGUGGUGCACGCCUGUAAUCCCAGCUACUGGGGAGGCUGAGGCAGGACAAUUGCUUGAACUCAGGAGGCGGAAGUUGCAGUGAGCCGAGAUCGUGCUGCUGUACUCCAGCCAGGGUGACAGAGCAAGAUUCCAUCUCAAAAAAAUAAAAAAAAAGCUCGGAUUUCAGAAAAUACGGGAGUAUGCAGUGCGAAGUGUCCACUCUGCCCGGCCACCUACUUCUAUUACCAGAACCAUCAUACUUAUAAAUUCUUUAUUUUUUUCUAGAAAUAGAAAAAAAUUCUGGUUUUUUCUCACUGUGUUGCUCAGGCUGGAGGGCAGUGGUAGGAUCAAAGCUCCAUGCAGCCUCGACCUCCUGUCUUAAGGGAUCCUCCCACCUGUUUCCUCAGUAGUUGGAACUACAGGUACACACCACCAUGCUCGGCUAAUUUUUUUCUUAAUUUUUUUGUAGAGAUGUUGGGGGGUCUUGCUAUGUUGCCCAGGCUGAUUUGAAGUCCUGGCCUCAGGGGACCCUUCCAUCUCAGUCUCCCAAAGUACUGGGAUUAGGUAUGAGCCUCUCCACCAGGCUUGUCAAUUCUUUGUGUAUUUUUUCGUUGACGUGUGUUGGAGAAGCACAUAGCGUGUUCUCCCACCUGGCUUUUUGUAUGUACGUGCUUCUUGGAGAUCAUCCCAAUUUAGUAAAAAGCGUCCUUGUUUGUUGUCUAAAUAUAUCUGGUCUGUCCUCAUGGACAGUUGGGUUGUUACUAUAAACAGUGCUUUUCUACGUUGUGCACAUGUAUUUCUGCAGGAGAAAUUCCUGGAAGUGGAAUUGCUGGGCCGAGUAGGAUGUGCCUGAGUACUUGUGAUAGCUGUUGGCAAGUCGCUCUUUGUGGAAGUCAAUUGAUUACUCAGGUCUCUCUGCGGAAGUCUGAGAGUGCUUGCACGCCUUCACCAGCACAGUGGGUCACCUGUCAGAGUGACAUGUGGUGUCUCACUGUUUUCAAUUUGCAUUUCAGAUGGUUGUUAUUUUUAAUUUCUCUUGCAAUCACAGCCACUUUUCCAUUUUAUGCAAAGCCACUAAAUCCUGUUGAAGAGCUGAUGUGGACUGUCUUGGCCUAUAGUCAGGGUGUAUUCCCUCAGCUAUUCAGAGAUAGUGGGGCUUCCAGUCACCUCCUUCCUUCUGCCACAGCUGUGAUGAAAAAGAAGACACAGGCUUGGUGCUUUGGGAGGCCAAGGAGGGCAGAUUGUUUAAGUCCAGGAGAAAAAAAAAUUUUAUUUUUGUUUAGAGACAGGGUCUCACUCUGCUGUCCAGGCUGGAGUGCAGUGGCACCAUCAGCUCACAGCAGCCUCAACCUCCUGGGCUCAGGUGAUCCUCCCACUUCAGCCUUCAGAGUAGCUGUGAUACAGGCGCGUGCCACCGCUUCUAAUUUUUAUUUUUUAUUUUGUAGAGAUGCAGGUCUUCCUGUGUUGCCCAGGCUGCUCUUUUUUUUUUUUGAGACAGAGUCUCGCUCUGUCGCCCGGGCUGGAGUGCAGUGGCGCAAUCUCGGCUCACUGCAAGCUCCGCCUCCCGGGUUCACGCCAUUCUCCUGCCUCAGCCUCCGAGUAGCUGGGACUACAGGCGCCCGCCACCGCGCCCGGCUAAUUUUUUGUAUUUUUUAAUAGAGACGGGGUUUCACCGUGGUCUCGAUCUCCUGACCUCGUGAUCCGACCGCCUCGGCCUCCCAAAGUGCUGGGAUUACAAGCGUGAGCCACCGCGCCCGGCCUUUUUUUUUUUUUUUUUUUUGAGACAGAGUCUUGGUGUGUCACCCAGGCUGGAGUGCAGUGGGGCAAUCAUAGCUCACUGCAACUUCUGCCUCCUGGUUUCAAGUGAUUCUCUUGCCUCAGCCUCCCAAGUAGCUGGGAUUACAAGCGUGCACCAGCAGGCCCGGCAAAUUUUUGUAUUUUUAGUAGAGACGGGGUUUCGCCAUGUUUGGCCAGGCUGGUCUCAAACUCUUGGCCUCAAGUGAUACGCCUGCCUCGGCCUCCCAAAGCACUGGGAUUACAGGCAUGAGCCACCACGCCUGGCGUUUUUAUUUUUAUUUUUUUUAUUUUUUGAGACAGAGUCUCGCUCUGUCACCCAGGCUGGAGUGCAGUGGCGCCAUCUCGGCUUACUGCAACCUCCGCCUCCCGGGUUCACGCCAUUCUCCUGCCUCAGCCUCCCGAGUAGCUGGGACUACAGGCGCCCACCACCAUGACUGGCUACUUUUUUUUGUUAUUUUUAGUAGAGACGGGGUUUCACUGUGUUAGCCGGGAUGGUCUCGAUCUCCUGACCUUGUGAUCCGCCCGCCUCGGCUUUCCAAAGUGCUGCAAUUACAGGCGUGAGCCACCGCGCCUGGCCCUAUUUUUUUAAGUUUUAGAUAACCUCUAUUGAUUAUGACUAAAUAGAAAUAAGGACUUCUCUUCCAUCUCCCAGUCGCAUACCUUCUUAUCCUAUCCGUCCAUCAGCAUUCCUUAUUUUCCUUAUUACAAUUAUCUGAGUCAUACUCGCAGUUGAGCCGUGUAGCAAUGGGUGCCGACUGUGCUUGUGGGCAGACUCCCUUACUGAGUGGAGAACUGGGAUGAACGACCUCUCUGAAAGAUGUCAGACAUCGAUCCCCAGACUGACGCCUGUAGCCCAGGCUCUCCUCAACCUCAGCCUGUACGUGUUUCCAAAAUAGGCCAGGCUGGCUGGGCACGGUGGCUCACGCUUGUAAUCCCAGCACUUUGGGAGGCCGAGAUGGGCGGAUCACGAGGUCAGGAGAUCGAGACCACGGUGAAACCCCGUCUCUACUAAAAAUACAAAAAAUUAGCCGGGCGUGGUGGCGGGCGCCUGUAGUGCUAGCUACUCGGAGAGGCUGAGGCAGGAGAAUGGCGUGAACCUGGGAGCGGAGCUUGCAGUGAGCCGAGAUCGCGCCACUGCACUCCAGCCUGGGUGACAGAGCGAGACUCCAUCUCAAAAAAAAAAAAAAAAGAAAAUAGGCCAGGCAUGGUGGUUCAUGCCUGUAAGCCCAGCAGCACUUUGAGAUUUGGGAGGACUGCUUGAGGCCAGGAGUUCAAGACCAGUCUGGGCAACAUAGUGAGACUCUACCAUCUCUACAAAAAAAUUUUUUUUUUUUUUUUUUUCUCUUAAGACAGAGUCUUGUUCCAUUGCCCGGGCUGGAGUGCAGUGGCACAGUCUCAGCUGACUACAACCUCCGCCUCCCAGGCUCAAGUGAUUCUCCUGCCUCAGCCUCCCAAGUAGUAUCACCACACCCGGCUAAUUUUUUUGUAUUUUUAGUAGAGACGGGGUUUCACCGUGUUAGCCAGGAUGGUCAUGGUCUCCAUCUCGUGACCUCGUGAUCCACCCGCCUCUGCCUCCCAAAGUGCUGGGAUUACAGACGUGAGCCACCGCGUCCAGCCUACAAAAAAUUUUUUUAAAAAUUAGCUGGCCGUAGUGGUGCACACCUGUACUCCCAGCUACUAGGGAGGCUAAAGCAGGAUGAUCACUUGAGCCCAGGAGUUCAAAGCUUCAGUGAGCUCUGAUCACACCACUGCACUUCAGCCACAGGCAUGGGUGCUCUGCUAAGUAUAGUAUGGGUAGGCUGUGUGUGGCCCUGAUUCAUGAGGGGAGAGGGUCUGGGAGAUGAAUGGGAAGCCAGGCAGCUGGAGCCCGUAGGGUAAGGAGGGGAAGCCCAGCCAGGGCUGAGCAUGUCCUGCCUGGCUCCAGGCCUGCAGCCCUGGGGGUUUGGCUUGGACAGGCCAGCAGAGGGGCCCCGAGCACAGCCUGCACAGCAUCCUGCUGCUGAUCCCCGGGGCUUCCUGCUUCCAGGCGCUUCCUGUCCUUUCCCCAAGCCCAGGCGUCUGGGACUUUAAAAAGUCAGAAAGCGACUGGAAAGGAAGGCAUGUGUCUAGCUUGCUCUAUAUCUGCCUUGCAUUGGGAGGCCUUCAGUGGGAAUGUUUUUCUGGAAGCAGUCAGCAAAUGUGAAACACCAUCAAGCCAGGCGAUUGGAGAGCUAAAAAGAAGCGAGGACUCAGGGAAUAUGGGCAUUUUAAAAAUAAAAAUUUAAAUUUAAAAAAGACAAGGAAAUGUUUAUUCCAGAGGGGUUGACAAUUCGAUACUUUUUUUUAACUUUUAGGUUUGGGGGUACAUUUGAAGGUUUGCUACAUAAAUAAACACAAAUCAUGGGGGUUUGUUGUAAAGAUUAUUUCAUCACGCAGAUACUAAGCCCAGUACCCAAUAGUUAUCUUUUCUGCUCCUCUCCUUCCUCCUGCCCUCCCCGCUCAAGUGGACCCCCGUGUCUGUUGUUUCCUUGUGUUCAUAAGUUCUUAUCAUUUAGCUCCCACUUACAAGUGAGAAGAUGCAGUAUUUGAUUUUCUAUUCCUGCAUUCGAUACUUACUUUUUAUUUUUCAUUUAUUUAUUUUGAGACAGGGUCUCACUCUUUUGCCCAGACUGGAAUGCACUGGCAAGAUCACGGCUCACUGCAAACUUGACCUCCUAUGCUCAAGCAAUUCUCCUGCAUUGGCCUCCUAAAGUACUGAGAUUACAGACUUAGCCACCACACCCUACCAAUUUUUUACUUUUUUGUGUUUUGUACAAACAGGGUCUUGCUGUGUUGCCCAGGCUUGUCUUAAACUCCUGGGCUCAAGCGAUCCUCCCACCUCGGCCUCCCAAAGUGCUGGGAUUACAGGCAUGAGCCACCACACCUAGUCUUCUCCUCUAAACAAGAGUCAGUAGAGAAACCUGGCUUCCCCACAGGACUGCUUGAGUCCAGAUCGUAAUCCACUGUCUUCCUGCAGCUCCUCCCACCAUAUCACCCCACACACUGGCCCCAAUAUAAAAAGCAGCACCAUAUUUGCUGUCCUGAUCAGAUGCCCUACUCUGACUUCAAAGUCAAAGGGGCCGGUCACUGUGGCUCACGCCUGUAAUCUCAGCACUUUGGGAGGCCAAGGCAGGCGGAUCACUUGAGGUCAGGAGUUCGAGACCAGCCUGGCCAACAUGGCAAAACCCCCUCUCUCCUAAAAAUACAAAAAUUAGCUGGGUGUGGUGGUGUGCGCCUGUAGUCCCAGUUACCGGGCGGCUGAGGCAGGAGAAUUGCUGGAACCUGGGAGGUGGAGGUUGUAGUGAGCUGAGAUCAUGCCAUUGCUCUUCAGCUGGGGUGCGGUGCCGGGGGGCACACCCUGUCCACGGCACCACAGAAAUGAUGCUCGCUGGAUGGAUGGCAACAGGACCAGGACCCGCUGGCUAGGCUUUGUCUCCAUCUCAGCCCCUCUUUUGGCCAAUGCAAAACAGUUGAGUUUCACAGGGGCCUUGUGCGGAUGAGAAGUGCCCUGUGAUCUCACUGCCCACCUCCUCUCACCUCUCAGCUUCAUUUCUGAAGUUUCCUGGGCCUCCCCGCUGCCUGUUCCCAGGGGAAGGGAAAAGCAGCUGGUAUUUGGGGCUGGAUAAGCAAUACUGCAGUGAUCUGCGUCUUCCUACGGAUGUAUCACAGGCUCACCGUCAGUGAGAGAACAAGCACAGAGGAUGGGAGGGGAGGGAGAAGCAGGGGAGCUGCUGAAGAGAAGGGGCCUGCUUUAAGAUUCCCAGAUUUGGCCUUGAGGUGGGGGUUUCUGGGAAGGAGCUGGGGGAGGCAGUGCUGAUUGACAUCCUGUGGGGAGGUGGUCCUGCAUUUCCUUGGGAUUCCCAGAGAUGGCGCAUGACCCCUGGCAAGAUGGGAGGUGUCUAUCUACCCUGUUAGGCUGGGCCCUGGGUCUGAAACUCUGCCACCUUUGCCCAUUCGCGUGAUACAGCUCUACCCAACCCUGGGGCAGGUACUGAGCAGCUCACAGGCAGUGCUGUGGGCCGGGCCAGGGGUGGCUGUGAAGACAGACUCGCUGCAGCCAGAACCUGGCGUCCAGAAAUAGAGAUCCUAAGAGGGGUCAAAGCUGAGAAAACCAAGGCUUUGUGACUAACUCAAGCCCUCAAGAAGGACAAAACUAGCAUCAGAGCACCUUGCUCCUGGGUCUGGCAAGAAUGCCUCUUGUUUGCUGAGAGGUCCACAGAUUUAUCCAGCUCAAGACUGGGAGAUGGGAGGUGACCAGGUCAGCGCCAGCCUCUCUCUGAGCUCCUCUGAGUUGUGGCAGCUGAGGCACUCUUCUGGGAAUGUUCUACCAUCCACGAGGUCGUGUACGCCUGGAAGCUUUUGUUCCAUUGAACUCUGCCAGGGAGCUAUACUUAGCCACGCGAGUGGAGGCCAGGAGUGGGUUCUCUGAAUAUAGAUAGUAGCAAGCAGGCUAUUUUCAAACACCUAGAGAACCCCUUUGAUUAUUCUGGGCCGAAAUGAUAUUUAUAGGAUGCUCUGGGCUCUUGGACACGAAGGCAAUAACCUUCGCGCCUUUUGGCGUUCGGGGAUAAGUUUCUUUCAACGGGGAGUGGAGAGAGGGACCCGGUCACCCAGAGGCCCGCUGUUUCUAGGAGGCCAGGCGUCCUCUUUGCUUUUACACUAUGAGUCAGAGAACAGCGAGAGGCACGCAGGGCCCCACUAAUUUUCCUUCCUGCACACCCUGGUGUGGGUCCUGUCUGACGCCUGCCGUGUGCUAUCAGGGGAGAGGUCAUCAGGGGACUUUUCCUGCUGUGAGGAGGGUGCAGCCCCCGCCUUUCAGAGCUCGGGACACCCUCUUCCUCUUGUCCAGGAUCCUCAGGGAUUUCCUAGGCUUCCACCCUCACCCAGACGUCACUGAGCCGUCACUGAAACACCCGCUUCCAGUGUGCUCAGGUCCUGCAGCCUCCUGUCCAUCCUUGCCCCGCCUCCCACCAGGAAGAAAGACUCUGACAGUGCCCCUGGAAGAGGGAGGAGAGUGGAUGUGAUGAGUGAAGAUUUGGGUGGGGAAAGGAAGGCCUGAGUCCUGGGGGGGAAGAGCUCCCUCGGCCCUGAGCCCCCGGAGACUGUGAGCAAGGCUGAGACGCCCCCUUCCUGGUCCUCAAGCUGCAGGUAUUGGAUAGGGCUCCAGAAGCCCAGAUUGUAAGUAACCAGGUUAACCUGGGCAUGGUCAGGCAGAACAAGGAGGAGAGGCCAGCAGUGAAGGGCGGGGCUGGUGGGCAGUGGCUGGGGGUGUCCUGGGUGGGGCUAGCCGCCCUCGCUGCCUCUGACUUGGGCCAGACCUGCCCUAAGUGGAGUGGCUCCUCCAUUCUUUACACCCCAGGCCCCUGGCAGGUGCCCUGCCUUUCCUCUGCCCCUCUCUGCCAACCCGUCCUCUCCCUCCCAGCCCCUGCCCGCCCAGAUAUAAAUAUAAGAGCAUUUUCCAUGGGCUGAGACAGAAGGGAAAACAUUCAGCUUUAUUUUCGGCUUGUGAAAUUCCUGUCCUUCAUUCCCAACAGGUGCAAUAGCCUCAUUUAGAUAUUGGGACCCAGAAAUAGAACACAACUUACAAUAAAGCUUCCUUUAGGGAUCUGGAUGCUACAAAAAAAAAAAAAAAAAAAGCCCUCCUGUGAGAUGCCGAGACUUAACAGAAACUGUGGUUGGAGCUCUUGGCUUUCUCCAGGCGAUUGGAGACCCUCACCCCUGGCAGCCUGACUGUGAAGCAGAGGAGGCAAGAGCUCUGGGAGAUAGUCGGGAGGGAGGGGGCCCUGGAGGAUAGGCUCCUAGCCCUACUCCUCCUCAAGACCCGGGUGCUGGCCUGUCCCCUGCCUUUGCCCCAGUGGGGAUGAGGGAGAGGAGAUGGGUCAGGGAACAGCCAUGGCCACUGGGGAAGGUGACUUGGAUGCAACCUUUGAAAGAGAUGCUUCCAGUAAACCCCAUUGGUUAAGAUCAGCUGUCCCCCAUGA